GCUAGUUUCAGCUGUCUACAUAAAUGGAAUAAUUCAGAGAAGAUUAGCAUGGCCUCUGUGCAAGGAUGACAUGCAAAUUCAUGAAGCAUUUUACAUUUUA
rnacentral:snRNA from 1 species